UCGCACUUCGGGAUAAGCCUGGGAAACUGGGUCUAAUACCGGAUAGGACUAUGGACUUCACGGUUUGUGGUGGAAAGCUUUUGCGGUGUGGGAUGGGCCCGCGGCCUAUCAGCUUGUUGGUGGGGUAAUGGCCUACCAAGGCGACGACGGGUAGCCGGCCUGAGAGGGUGUCCGGCCACACUGGGACUGAGAUACGGCCCAGACUCCUACGGGAGGCAGCAGUGGGGAAUAUUGCACAAUGGGCGCAAGCCUGAUGCAGCGACGCCGCGUGAGGGAUGACGGCCUUCGGGUUGUAAACCUCUUUCAAUAGGGACGAAGCGCAAGUGACGGUACCUAUAGAAGAAGCACCGGCCAACUACGUG
rnacentral:rRNA from 1 species